UGGGGAAUAUUGCACAAUGGGCGCAAGCCUGAUGCAGCCAUGCCGCGUGUAUGAAGAAGGCCUUCGGGUUGUAAAGUACUUUCAGCGGGGAGGAAGGGAGUAAAGUUAAUACCUUUGCUCAUUGACGUUACCCGCAGAAGAAGCACCGGCUAACUCCGUGCCAGCAGCCGCGGUAAUACGGAGGGUGCAAGCGUUAAUCGGAAUUACUGGGCGUAAAGCGCACGCAGGCGGUUUGUUAAGUCAGAUGUGAAAUCCCCGGGCUCAACCUGGGAACUGCAUCUGAUACUGGCAAGCUUGAGUCUUGUAGAGGGGGGUAGAAUUCCAUGUGUAGCGGUGAAAUGCGUAGAGAUGUGGAGGAAUACCGGUGGCGAAGGCGGCCCCCUGGACAAAGACUGACGCUCAGGUGCGAAAGCGUGGGGAGCAAACAGG
rnacentral:rRNA from 1 species